rnacentral:sRNA from 1 species
UAUUUAGAUUCUGAUAUUAAGAGAAUAAUAUUUAUAAACACAGGGGCAGAUUCAAUAUUUGCAAAACAACAAAGGGUUUAUGGAGUUGUGGGGGUAUAAAACUGCAAUACAGCGUGGCGCACACAGCACAGUGUGUGGACACUUGCUUAUAUUAGAAUGUUUGUGGUCUUUUGGAUUACUGCUGUGUGGAGCGUCGAAACAGAGAGGGGGAAAAUAGAUCAAAAUCUUUUGAUGACAAAAGUGUAGUCUCUGUGCAUGUGAAGGAAACAGAUUUCUAAAAAGAGAUGGUUUUGAGAUCCUGCUUCGUGCUCAAGUGGAUGAUGACAUAGUUCUUUCCAGAUGUUGACAAUUCUUCUGAUACCAAAACAUUCUGUAACUAGAAGUUCAAGGUAGCCAUCAGAUACUUUUGAGCCAAAGCUGUUAUUUUCACCUGAUUUAUUGCUGUUUGCCUCUGGAAUUGUAUUUAUACUGCUAUCAUCCUUGACAAGUGAAUGCACCUCAGAUAAGCCAGACAGCCCUAAAAGAUGGUUAUUGUCCAGAC